rnacentral:lncRNA from 1 species
CAAAAACAACUUACCUGUGAGCAGAGAGAGUAUUUGUUAACCCCUUUGAGCUUAAACAGUUGAAUCUCGGCUUGAAAUAAAGCGAGAUCUCAAAAAUCUUUUUUUUUACAACCCGGAAAAUCUUGAUUAUUGUUCUUUUGCCGUAAAAAGUUAAGAGCAUUCACUUAGGGUGAGGAAGAAAUAAGUUGGGGAGAACGAAAAAGAAUCGGUAAGUACCACAACUCUUGAAAAAGAAAAGAAAAACCGAGCAAGCAUAGAAAAAUAUAUGUAUAGAAAAUAUAGAAAAGAAACAUCUGUUUUGUAUAUUUGAUGUGAAAGAAAAGAACAAAAAUAGAAAGAAUGAAAAUGAAUGCUUGCUUG